rfam:Aedes aegypti strain Liverpool supercont1.1059 genomic scaffold, whole genome shotgun sequence.
CCUCUCAUGGCGUAGUGGUAACGCGCCCCAACUAGAGAUCGGGGAGUCGUUAGUUCGAUUCUCACUGAGAAGA